rnacentral:lncRNA from 1 species
CAUCGUCCAGGAUCUCUACGGCACUCAUCCAGUUUGGAUUGAAGUCCCGGGCGAUCUCUUCAAAGUUUCCUUCCAUGGGCUUGUAGGCAAGGAGCAGGACAGACCGCAUCAGAUCUCCCACGAGGAUGAAGUCUCCCUUGGUCUUCAGGUAGAGAGCCAUGAUGUUGUUGUAAUGGUUGCACUCCGUGCGCAGCUCCUUCUCGGCCGUCCACUCGUACAGGCGCACCGUGCUGUUGAUGCUGGCUAACAGCUUCCCGUUGAACUCCACCAUGGAAUACACAGCUCCCUUCACCUCCUUCUCAGCCAGGCUCUGCAGCUUGCCGUCAGAGUAGUGGAAGACGACGAUGCGGCCCUGCUUCGGCUCUGCCUCCUCAGGAUACACCAUGGCAGUACCCACGAUGAAGUAGGUGUUUGGGUCUUUGCCAAGCUUGCAGGAGACCAGGCUAAGGGCGUAUUCGUUUUGUAGAAACUGGUGAGCAUGAAGCACUUCAAAAGUGUGCUGAUCGAUGAUGAGCAGGUUGUGCACCUCCACCUCCUCUCCAAAGGAUGUCUCGUGUGGCGCUGUGCUGCUGGAGAACAGCUUGCUGGUGCUCACACUGCUAGACAGGGCCUGGGUGCUGGCGCUGGGUCUGAGCGCAGUGGUGCCCCCGCUGGCAUCUUGCACCUCGAUACGACUUGAGAGCACACCAAAACACUGUGAUACUUCUUGGUAGCAGAUCUUCCUGGGUGAUUCAUA